UCACCCACCCCACCCAUAACGUAGAGCGAGCGAGAGAGAGAGAGAGAGAGAGGGAGGGGUGAAGUGAAGAUGGUGUGGACUAGAGUUUCAAUCAAAGGUAUGAGACGCGGGUUUUCCAGCAUCCUCUACUGCAAAUCUCCUAAUCUCCCCACUAUCAAGAGGGAUUCUCUAGUCUGGUACUCUUAUAUAGAUCCAAACGUUUCAUGUCUCUCAUUGUUUCCUGGGGACAGAUUUACAGAGUCUCUUACUUGCAUCACGUUUGCAAACCAGAGAAGCUACACGUCAGAGGGACCUCAUUUAGGAGCAUUAUGUAUUUCCUCUCAAUUAAAUACGUCAAUGAUGCAGGGAUCAUUGAUGCCUGGGUAUCAUAAUACUCUUGUAAAAUGGCUACAUGCUAGAUGUAUGAGCAGUACCUCAAUUGAGCUGAAGAUGGAGAAUGAUGUUGUUAGGUUUAGUUUGGGCAAGCUGCUUGAGAAAAAGGGGUCUCCAACAAAAGGGCAGAAAAGAGUCAAACGGGUUAAAAUGUCUAAGAAGGCCAAAUUAAAUGAACUCAGGUUAUAUCGUCUGAAAGCGAAGAAAAAGAUGAAAUCUCCAAAUCCAGAAGUUAGGAUUAGAUACAAACUUGAAAAGGCUAAACGAAAAGAAGCAUGGUUGAUUGAGAAACUUAGGAAUUUUGAGGUACCUAAAGCCCCAGCUGAAACAUAUGAUCCCGAAAUUCUAACCGAGGAAGAGAAAUUUUACCUAAAGCGUACUGGUGAGAAAAAGAAGAAUUAUGUUCCAGUUGGGAGGCGAGGAGUAUUUGGAGGUGUUGUCCUCAAUAUGCAUCUUCACUGGAAAAAGCAUGAGACUGUUAAGGUUAUUUGCAAGCCUUGUAAGCCCGGACAGGUUCAUGAGUAUGCUGAAGAUCUUGCACGGCUGAGCAAAGGCAUUGUGAUUGAUAUAAAACCUAACAAUACUAUAAUAUUCUAUCGUGGAAAGAAUUAUGUACAGCCAAAAGUGAUGUCACCUCCGGAUACCUUAUCUAAAGCCAAGGCCCUGGAAAAGUACAGGUUUGAGCAGUCCCUAGAGCAUACGAGUCAGUUCAUUGAAAAACUGGAGAAAGAGCUGGAAGAAUAUCAUAAGCACCUUGCUCGGUAUAGGAAAGGGAACGAAAGAGAAUGCACCACAAGAUCAGUGGUUGACACUUAAUGGUUUUGCAUUUGGCAGCGGGUGGAUGAUUCAUUAAUAUUCCACUGAACAGUUGGAUGCUCACCUAUUUCGUCCUGUACAACUUUGCCUUUUGCUACUUGGAAAAAGAACAUUCUCGUAAAGAAGACAACACUUUCUAACGUUUAAAACGUUUUCUAUGGAAUACUUUUUCCAGAUAUUUGUAUUAGUGGUGUUAGUGGAAUCCAUGAUGGAUGGACCAAACCACUAUGCAAUCAUUAGUACAAAAGUUCAAUUUGUAAGAUGGUGUCAAUUGUCAUUGAUUGGAAUUAAUUGCCAGGAACCCUCAAGUUUUCCGUGGCUGUCGCAAUCAAUAUUACGGUGACUACCGUGAAGUAGAUGACUGUUGGUUCAAUGUGGCAUAGUGAAAUGACAAAGAGAGCUUGGAACAUGUGAUAUGUAUGCUCCUUCUAUGAAAUGGUUCACAAGCGAAAGGUAGCUUUGAGAGAACACUGCUUCCACCAACUGCAGCCAAUUAGAGGAUAGAAGACAAUGCUUCAUCUAUCAACUUUGUAAAUUUGUUCGUUAUUAUGGCAACUUCCUGCUCGUCUCCACGGGGAUGAAGUUCACACUUGCCUGAGUACUAUCUACCAAGAAAAAGUUUUGAGUACCAUAUUUUGUGGGCAGUGGAAUCAGUGGUUACCGAUAUCUUCUUUGUAUCCUUGGCCUCAUUAGUAGAUAUCACAUUGAAAUUUGGAAUAAACCAUAUGUAUCGUAGUUGGAUUGAUUUAAUACCCUUGAAUCAUUUUGCAAGAAGCAAUGCAGCUGAAUAUGUGAUUAAAAUUUUUAUGGAUCUACUGGGAAAGCAUUGUGUAUCUUAUGGUAUAAUCGCUCAACGAGAUGUCCUUGCAAGGUUGUGUAUCUUAUUUAUAAGUAUACUGUAUUCUUGAACCCCUUGGUAUGUUUUCUGAUCAGAUUUGCUCAAGUGGUUAAAAUUUGAAAUAAGCCACAAUUUUGUAACGACUGACAACUCUCUGAGAUAUGAAAAAUCCCUUUCUAGUACCUGGUGGGACAAUCUUCAUACUGUAUGUUGACAUCUUUUCGAGUUAUAUGCUGUAGAAGAGAUGCUUUAUUAUUGUGUUGUUUAUCUAUAUAUUUGUAAUGAUGUAAUGUUUAUUCUGAGUUACAACAAGCAAAUAAGCUGGCAAGAGAAAGUGAAGUGUGGUGGAAAGGGUAUGGUUGAUAUUGGAACUGAGGAUAUGUUCCUUUAUAUAUAUUCUUCCACUUUGGACGUGGCUAUUGUUUCCCCUGUGCUUGCUUCAUUUUUUGUGAAUGAAAAGCCAAACCAUAGUGAAGUAUUCCAUUGGUACACACAACAGUCUUUUUCUAGCUUAUAAAUUGGGUAUCAUAGUUUUUGUUAUU